ACACUUUCCAGUUGGUUAUAAGACUGUAAGUCAUUCCCUUCAAAUGCUAUUGAAGUCAGAAUCGUGUUUAACAAUGUCGUGUGUAACUUUCGAGACGGUCCCUUAAUAUCCGCGAAUAUCGAACGUCCAACGUCAAACCAACUUCACGCCAGUUCCAAAAUCUAGUGGAAAGCCUUCCCAGAAGAGUGGAGGUUAUUAUAACAGUAAAGGAGCAAUGAAUCUAGAAUGAGAUGUUCAACAAGCACGUUAUGAUUGUGAUGCUGCACCAACUUCAGUGGCACUGCAGAUUGUGUACAACACAGAAAGCUACAAAUGAUGUCUCUGGCAGCCUGAACAGCCUCAUCAUCAUAUUACACAGCCACCCGUUGUAUGAGCAGACAGAGAUACAAGUCAAGAGGCGUGAUCAGACGUCGGGUUAAUGCUUGAUUGUGAUUAGAUUAGAUCAGUGUGCUUGCUAGCGAUCAUCAAUCAGUCAAAGCCUUACCUACAAAGUCGAGUAGACGCUCGGCGUGCACUGGAGCAGUGAUUCUGAUUGCUCAGUGUUCUCAGUUAACCUUACACGCGUUGCUUUGUGUUUUUCUGGAGGAGCUGGGCUGUGUGGAAGGCCAAAUGUACCAAACCGUCCAAAAAACAGUCGCAUGCGUUUGUCCUGCUGCUCAUGUCCCCGCCCACCCUGUGCCUCCGCCAGCGAAUGGCCACCAAUCCACCAAUCACAGCCGAGUGGGCGGUCCCCUGAGAAGAGUGACAACCUGGAUAGUUGUAGAGAAGCCUUUGGAAGCCUAACGUCAAGAAGAAGAUGAAGAAGAAGAAGAGGAAGAAGAAGGAGAAGAAGAAGAAGAAGAAGAAGAAGAAGAGGAAGGAGAAGAAGAAGAAAAGGAAGAAAAACAACAUCAUCCAAACAAACAACCAAACAAAAAAGACAGAAAAAAUUUCUGAAAAAUGGAUUGAACCAGAAAGGAGUCUGAGAAGUAGAACGAAGACAGCGCUGAUAAACAAAAUGGGUGAAUCUUUGCAAAAUACUGUUUGAAGGCUGAAAGGCUGCAAUCGGUAAAUGUAUCCAGAUAAUAUUCUGGGUUUUAAGUGUGAAAGAGGCUAUUAUCAGUUCAUUGAAAACUGCUAAACCAAAUGCAUACUUUUGAUCAAAUGUCAGUAUUUGUAUCUUCAGUAUCUUGCCGCAAAAAUGUAUAAAUCUACUUCUAUAAGAAUCUCUAAAUAAUUAACAUCUUUCAUUACAGAGGAGACAAAAUAACUAAAUUAGUUGCAGAUGGAAGUUUCUAGUUAAACAUUUCAUUUCACUAAAGCGGACAGAAUUUUAAGGAUUGUUAAGGAUCCUGCCAUUUCUCUCGAUGUGUUCAGAAACUUUGCUUCUAUUCAAAUAGACAUAAAUAGUAUUAAAAUAAAGUAUAUCAAGGAUCGCCCAUUGUCUAUUCCUAAUAUAAUCUUUGAAAUGUAACACGUGUAGCUUGUACUAAAAUUUUUGUUUGUUUGUUUUUUUCUAUUUGUCUAUUUGUGUAUUUUAACUUAUGUCAAAAAUCAAGCUAUUUAAUCUGGAUUAAUGAUAGUUUAGCACUGUCAUUUUAAAACAUUUGGUAUUUAGCAAUUUAGGAAUAGAGCCUAGCCUGCAUUUUAAGUGUUGGAGCUUACUGUUCAGGUUCUUCGACAAAAACAUUUCCCAUACAGCAUUUGAGGUCAUGCGCAACUUUAUUCAAUGC